GAAGUCGCUCGAGCGGGGAAGCGGCGGCCGUUAGGAAAAUGGCGCCGUGCGGCCCGGGGCAGACCCCCGUCACUGGUCACCGCCGCCUUCCUGGUGCAGCUGCUGUGUCACGGCCACACCGGCCGGCUGUACAGCAGGCAGGAGCCGGUGACCAUUCUGGAGGCGGAUGGGGUUAAGGGCCUGUUUGGGAACUGGUCGGCCGCCUGGGUGGUGGAGUUCUACUGGUCGUGGGGCGGCCCCUGUGUCAACUAUGGGGCCACCUGGAAGGUACUGGGCCCGGGAGGUGAAAGGGCCACCAGAAGCCUUCUCAGUACUCUACAAGUGACUUCACCAACAUCCUGUACACCUUCAACAUGAUGUCCCAACUCCUUUUAUUCAAUGGUGUGAACUAUUAAGCUAGCUGAUGAAGGAGCUGCACUCCAAAAGCCAGUGCUUCCAAAUAAAC